AUUUUGUUUUGUAUCUUGUAAAUAUAUUAGUAGCACUAGUCUAUUGAAGUAAAGCCAUGUAAAUUUCGCAUUUACUUCAUUUCAGACUAAAUCAUAUUUUUUUUCUGUGGCAAGAUUCAUGUCAACUGAUAUGAGACUCGAUCUGUGAGACACAAAAUAAAUAUGCUGUUAAUCUUUCUACAACAUUAUCCCCAUCAGUAGCACAUAGAUAUUGACUUGGAUUCCACAGCGAUUGUGAUACUAACAUGAACUUCAAAAACAGCUGUAAAGGCUGUUACAGCCAAGAAGUCAAAGUAAAUGGAGCUCAGUUUACGUUCCUUUACUGCUUUUUUAGGUCUUUCUCAUGAGGUAACUACAAAAGAACACUAAAUGUUUGUUGCCAACUAUAGAUGCUUCAGUGACAGCUACCUCUCAGCUAACUCACUCUCGUUUUCUGUUACAUUCUUGUGUAGCAAUGGAAAUUGUAUUUUCAGUAUUUCAGCUUUACUGUAAAAGGUUUGUCUUCAAAUUUGUAGAUAUAUCAUUUAGUAACUUGAUAAAUAUUAUAGAAAAGCAAAUUAGAGAGGCUAGUCAUGGUAGAGAAGCUGGGGGACUCAACUGACCUACUGUCCCAUGCUUACGCUGCCAUUAUGUUCCAGGGCAUGCUUCUGGAUUUUGACAGUUUCACAUACUCUUUUUGUUUGCUCUGAAUACAUUUUGAAUCCCCAUGUGUGACCUUACCCCCAAGAUGUUAAAGCUUUAAACGCUAUCCCUUGUGUGUAACGACUUCAGUAUUAUUUUAAAAUGCAUUUUCGUUCCAAGGAUAACUGAAUGCCAAAAUAGAUUAAAUGGGAAAACUGAUAAUGUCUGAAGAAAUUGAUUGAUUGACAUCCCAAACUACACUUGUGGGGAAAAAUCUGAGUCUUGCCCCUCUACAUAAAGUCUGUAUGUGCAUUAGAAGCACUUAGUACCUUGAAUGUCUUCUCCAUUUAUCUUUAACGUAAUUAGUUUUAUUUAAUGCACUUCCAGUUAUGUUGGAAUUCAGUUCUGAACAAUAUUGUAGACUGUGUUGUGUGAACAAUGCUCCUCUGCACUAUAUCCUUAGAUGACUGGACCUAUAAUGUUUUACUGCGGAUAUAAGCCGUUUUGAAGAAAGGUUACAUCCAGGGCUGCAGAGGAAGAAAAGUACUUGCUUGUCAGUUUUUAUGCAAGCAAUCACACCUCUUGGAUUACUUAACACAGGGGCCCUAGUUUUGUCAUCCUAAAUUGGUUUUGCUUAUAGUAUUUCUACAAAUACUUGAAGUUUAUAGCUGUUUAAUUUCUGGACAGAUAUGCAGAAAAAAAUCUUUUGUGAGAAUAACAAAGCAAAUAAUACCUGCAAUCAAAACCUUCAUCUCCCUAAUUCCUUAUUUCCUAGUAAACUGCAUUUAGUUCUUUGUAUAACUUCCCUUGACUGACUCAUGGCUAGUUGCUAAGGGUCAAAUGGCAGUUCUGAAGAUGCUUUUUUUUUUUUUUAAUAGAUUAGGGACAGACAGGUUUCAGAGUAGCAGCCGUGUUAGUCUGUAUUCGCAAAA